CAAAACCCAGCUAGUCUGUGACUGGUGUUCCUGUGUGACUACUCGCAGCGGCGCGGCUGACAGCACAGCAGCACCAUGGGGCUGGAACAUGUGAUGCAGAUUGGGUACAUGAUCAUCGUCGUGUCCGUCCUGCUGAUGGUAUGGGCCUCCAUGAUAGGAGCCACACAUCAGGUGACCCACCAUCACCGUGACGUAGACUACCCUCCGUGCGUGUUCAACCCCCUGUGUACCUGCUCCAAGGCGGUGCCAGACCUGGGUAUAGUCACCA